rnacentral:tRNA from 1 species
GCGCCCAUCGUCUAGCGGUUAGGACGCCUCCCUUUCACGGAGGAAACAGGGGUUCGAUUCCCCUUGGGCGUGCCA